rnacentral:misc_RNA from 1 species
GGGAUGUUGAAAAAGCAUUACUAGUUUACAGGAAAAUGAAACUUGCAGGUAUUAAGUCUAAUGCUUAUAUUGAAAAUUCGUUGAUAAAGGGAUUUUUAAAUGUGGACUUGUUAGAUGAAGCAAUGAAUGUGUUUGAUGGGGCAAUAAAUUCAGGGACGGCCAAUGUUUUCGUUUACAAUAGUAUAAUAGCAUGGUUGUGUAAGAAGGGUCAAAUGGAUAAAGCUCAAAACACAUGGGAUAAGAUGGUUGUUAAUGGAAUUUUACCUACUAUAAUUUCAUACAACAAUAUUAUUCUCGGAAAUUGCAGAAAUGGGAAUAUGGACAAAGCAUUGGAUUUCUUCUCCCAGUUGCCAGAAAGACAUUUGAAAGCUAAUGUUGUAACAUAUAGCAUUUUGAUUGACGGGUAUUUUAGAAAAGGUGAUGCUGAUAAAGCUGAGAACAUGUUUGAUCAAAUGGUCUCUUCAGGAAUUUCCCCUACUGACUACACAUUCAAUACCGUGAUCAGUGGUAUGUCUAAGGUUGGCAAAACAUCAGAGGCAAAAGAUUUGCUUAAAAGGAUUGUGGAAGGAGGAGACCUCCUUCCAACAUGCAUGUCUUACAAUAGUCUAAUCGAUGGAUUUUUGAAGGAAGAUGAUGUCAGCUCAGCUUUGUCUGUUUAUAGAGAGAUGUGCAAUAGUGGUAUUUCCCCAGAUGUUGUCACUUACACAACUUUGAUUGAUGGGUUAUGCAAAAGCAAUAACAUAAAUCUAGCUCUAAAACUGCUGAAGGAGAUGAGAAAUAAAGAAAUUAAGUUAGAUGUCAUUGCAUACGCUGUUCUUAUAGAUGGGUUUUGCAAAAGAAGAGAUAUGAAAAGUGCUUCUGAACUUUUUGAUGAAAUUCUUCAAGUUGGUAUCUCUCCUAACCUAUUUGUUUAUAAUAGCAUGAUGAGUGGGUUUAUAAAUGUAAAUAAUAUGGAAGCAGCACUAGUCUUGCGUGAUAAGAUGAUCAAUGAAGGCGUUCCAUGUGAUCUGAAAACAUACACCACAUUGAUUGAUGGGCUUUUGAAGGAUGGAAAAAUAGAUCUGGCGUCUCAUUUGUUUACUGAGAUGCUUGGAAAGGGUAUAAUGCCUGAUGACAUCACAUAUACUGUUCUUGUACAUGGUCUUUCCAAUAAAGGCCAGGUUGAGAAUGCACACAAAAUCUUAGAGGAGAUGUAUAAAAAGAGUAUGACUCCUA